AAUAAACGUUGUCAUGAGUUUCCGUGUUCAACUUUGACCAUCAAUUUUAUUUAAAUUUUUUUAUAAUUAAUAUUUUUAUUGUUAUUAGAUUAUAAAAUAUAAAUAAUAUUUUAUGUGACCUGAUGCUUUUUAGGUUUUUUUAAAAAAAAUUAAAUAAGACGAACAGUUAAAGUUGGACACGAAAAUUGAUGGUUGCGCUUAUU
rfam:Oryza nivara chromosome 1, whole genome shotgun sequence.